AACGCGAAGAACCUUACCUACCCUUGACAUCCUGCGAACUCUGCUGAGAGGUGGAGGUGCCGAAAGGAGCGCAGAGACAGGUGCUGCAUGGCUGUCGUCAGCUCGUGUUGUGAGAUGUUGGGUUAAGUCCCGUAACGAGCGCAACCCUUGUCCUUAGUUGCCAGCAUUUAGUUGGGGACUCUAAGGAGACUGCCGGUGAUGAACCGGAGGAAGGCGGGGACGACGUCAAGUCAUCAUGGCCUUUAUGGGUAGGGCUACACACGUGCUACAAUGGGGCGUACAGAGGGUCGCGAACCUGCGAAGGGUAGCCAAUCUCUAAAAGCGUCUCGUAGUCCGGAUUGGAGUCUGCAACUCGACUCCAUGAAGUUGGAAUCGCUAGUAAUCGCGAAUCAGCAUUGUCGCGGUGAAUACGUUCCCGGGCCUUGUACACACCGCUCGCGA
rnacentral:rRNA from 1 species